rnacentral:tRNA from 6 species
GCCGGAGUGGCGGAAUGGCAGACGCGACGGAUUCAAAAUCCGUUGCCCGCAAGGGCGUGUGGGUUCAAGUCCCACCUCCGGCA